UCCAGCUUAUCACUGGCAGUCUCUUUAUGGUUCUUAGAUUUACCUAUUAGCAAAUAAAGAUAGGGGUUGCGCCCGUUAAAGGACUUAACCCAACAUCUCACGACACGAGCUGACGACAGCCAUGCACCACCUGUGCGAAGUCCGGCCUAACCGAAGAUCUAAUCUCUUAGAUCGGCGACUUCCAUGUCAAGAGCUGGUAAGGUUCUUCGCGGAUUAUCGAAUUAAACCACAUGCUCCACCGCUUGUGCGGGUCCCCGUCAAUUCCUUUGAGUUUUAGUCUUGCGACCGUACUCCCCAGGCGGAUUGCUUAACGCGUUAGCUUCAACACUGAAGAUUAUUCAUCCCCAACGUUUAGCAAUCAUCGUUUAGGGCGUGGACUAC
rnacentral:misc_RNA from 1 species